rnacentral:rRNA from 1 species
GAUGAACGCUGGCGGCGUGCCUAAUACAUGCAAGUCGAGCGAACGGACGAGAAGCUUGCUUCUCUGAUGUUAGCGGCGGACGGGUGAGUAACACGUGGAUAACCUACCUAUAAGACUGGGAUAACUUCGGGAAACCGGAGAUAAUACCGGAUAAUAUUUUGAACCGCAUGGUUCAAAAGUGAAAGACGGUCUUGCUGUCACUUAUAGAUGGAUCCGCGCUGCAUUAGCUAGUUGGUAAGGUAACGGCUUACCAAGGCAACGAUGCAUAGCCGACCUGAGAGGAUGAUCGGCCACACUGGAACUGAGACACGGUCCAGACUCCUACGGGAGGCAGCAGUAGGGAAUCUUCCGCAAUGGGCGAAAGCCUGACGGAGCAACGCCGCGUGAGUGAUGAAGGUCUUCGGAUCGUAAAACUCUGUUAUUAGGGAAGAACAUAUGUGUAAGUAACUGUGCACAUCUUGACGGUACCUAAUCAGAAAGCCACGGCUAACUACGUG